rnacentral:tRNA from 1 species
GGACAGGUGGCAGAGCGGUUGAACGCACGCGCUUGGAAGGCGCGCAUAGGGUAAUACCUAUCGAGGGUUCGAAUCCCUCCCUGUCCGCCA